CCUACGGGGGGCAGCAGUGGGGAAUAUUGGACAAUGGGGGCAACCCUGAUCCAGCCAUGCCGCGUGUGUGAAGAAGGCCCUCGGGUUGUAAAGCACUUUCAGUGAGGAAGAACGCCUGGUGGUUAAUACCCAUCAGGAAAGACAUCACUCACAGAAGAAGCACCAGCUAACUCCGUGCCAGCAGCCGCGGUAAUACGGAGGGUGCGAGCGUUAAUCGGAAUUACUGGGCGUAAAGCGCGCGUAGGUGGCUUGAUAAGCCGGUUGUGAAAGCCCCGGGCUCAACCUGGGAACGGCAUCCGGAACUGUCAAGCUAGAGUGCAGGAGAGGAAGGUAGAAUUCCCGGUGUAGCGGUGAAAUGCGUAGAGAUCGGGAGGAAUACCAGUGGCGAAGGCGGCCUUCUGGACUGACACUGACACUGAGGUGCGAAAGCGUGGGUAGCAAACAGGAUUAGAUACCCCAGUAGUC
rnacentral:rRNA from 1 species